UACGUAGGGCGCAAGCGUUGUCCGGAAUUAUUGGGCGUAAAGAGCUCGUAGGCGGUUUGUCGCGUCUGCUGUGAAAACUGGAGGCUCAACCUCCAGCCUGCAGUGGGUACGGGCAGACUAGAGUGCGGUAGGGGAGAUUGGAAUUCCUGGUGUAGCGGUGGAAUGCGCAGAUAUCAGGAGGAACACCGAUGGCGAAGGCAGAUCUCUGGGCCGUAACUGACGCUGAGGAGCGAAAGCAUGGGGAGCGAACAGG
rnacentral:rRNA from 1 species